UACGUAGGUGGCAAGCGUUGUCCGGAUUUAUUGGGUUUAAAGGGUGCGUAGGCGGCCUAUUAAGUCAGUUCUGAAAUAUCCCGGCUUAACCGGGAGGGUGGGAUUGAUACUGAUGGGCUUGAGUGGAGUCGAGGUAGGCGGAAUUGACGGUGUAGCGGUGAAAUGCUUAGAUAUCGUCAAGAACACCGAUAGUGUAGACAGCUUACUAGACUUCAACUGACGCUGAGGCACGAAAGUGUGGGGAUCAAACAGGAUUAGAAACCCUGGUAGUCC
rnacentral:rRNA from 1 species